rnacentral:rRNA from 1 species
GAACGGGNAGCNUUGCCUCCCCUUAGGNUCAGCCGGCGGACGGGNUGAGUAACACGNUGGGGUAACCCUGCCCUGUAAGACUGGGAUAACCUCCGGGAAACCGGGGNCUAAUACCGGAUGCUUGUUUGAACCGCAUGGUUCAAACAUAAAAGGUGGCUUUUCGCUACCACUUACAGAUGGACCCGCGGCGCAUUAGCUAGUUGGUGGGGUAACGGCUCACCAAGGCGACGAUGCGUAGCCGACCUGAGAGGGUGAUCGGCCACACUGGGACUGAGACACGGCCCAGACUCCUACGGGAGGCAGCAGUGGUCUA